rnacentral:rRNA from 1 species
ACUCCUACGGGAGGCAGCAGUGAGGAAUAUUGGACAAUGGGUGGAAGCCUGAUCCAGCCAUCCCGCGUGCAGGAAGACGGCCCUAUGGGUUGUAAACUGCUUUUAUCUGGGGAUAAACCUACUUACGUGUAAGUAGCUGAAGGUACCAGAAGAAUAAGCACCGGCUAACUCCGUGCCAGCAGCCGCGGUAAUACGGAGGGUGCAAGCGUUAUCCGGAUUUAUUGGGUUUAAAGGGUCCGUAGGCGGACUGAUAAGUCAGUGGUGAAAUCCGACAGCUUAACUGUCGAACUGCCAUUGAUACUGUUAGUCUUGAGUAAGGUUGAAGUGGCUGGAAUAAGUAGUGUAGCGGUGAAAUGCAUAGAUAUUACUUAGAACACCAAUUGCGAAGGCAGGUCACUAAGUCUUAACUGACGCUGAUGGACGAAAGCGUGGGGAGCGAACAGGAUUAGAAACCCUAGUAGUCCC